rnacentral:lncRNA from 1 species
AAAAUCCAAAUCAGAGGAUACGGAUUCCGCACAGAAUCGUGAUUGAUUCGAAUUAGAUAACUGAAACGAUUGUUUAACUAAAAACCAAAACGAUUUCGAACCUCAGAAAUCAGACUUGUUGUCUGCAAUUGCUCCGUCCGUCUGUCGUCUCUAUCGUUUCCGUCUGCAACUGAUCCGUCGUCUCCAUCGUCUCCGUCUGCAACUGCUGGUGAGAGCCUUCGACUUCGUUUUCACUUUGUUAAUUUUGAAGCUCAAUCUGUGCAGAACCCUUUUCUGUUUUUUUUCGAACCUAAAAGCCCCAACCUGUUUAUGUUUUUAUUCGAAGCUAAAAGAAAGCCUCUGUUCAAUCUGAUUGCUUUGAAAACCUGUUCAAUCUGAUUGCUUUUUGUAUAUAAUAUUAUUUUGUGGAGACUACUUUAGUUACUGGAUGAACCGUCAUUGGAGACUACUUUAGUUACUGGAGGAGACAUUAUGACUGUGGAAGUUAAAUGAGACUUUGUUUUUUUAAUUUUAGUUUGGAUGUUCAUUUUAAUUUUUCAAGUUUGAAGACUAAUUGCUUGUUGGAUGGACUAUCUUUCUAACUAUUUGGAGUUUAUUGAAAUAAAUUUAAAUUUGAGUAAUAAAUUUGAAUGCUUAUUUUAAAGUAUUUUAGAUAUAUUUAUAUAUUUUUUUAAUUGCCGUAUCCCAAACGUAUCGUAUCUUCGUUUUUAAAAAUUUAACGUGUCCCCGUGUCGUAUCGUGCCGUAUCCCCGUAUCCGUGUCCGUGUCCAUGCAUCGUAGGUCCCCAAUGAGAAGGCAUCUGUCACGAUCUUGGUCAAUUCUGUUACUCAGAUUCCUCCAUUGUUCCUUG